rnacentral:rRNA from 1 species
GACGAACGCUGGCGGCGUGCUUAACACAUGCAAGUCGAACGGAAAGGCCCUGCUUUUGUGGGGUGCUCGAGUGGCGAACGGGUGAGUAACACGUGAGUAACCUGCCCUUGACUUUGGGAUAACUUCAGGAAACUGGGGCUAAUACCGGAUAGGAGCUCCUGCUGCAUGGUGGGGGUUGGAAAGUUUCGGCGGUUGGGGAUGGACUCGCGGCUUAUCAGCUUGUUGGUGGGGUAGUGGCUUACCAAGGCUUUGACGGGUAGCCGGCCUGAGAGGGUGACCGGCAAGAGUGGGGAUGAGUAGAGGAAAGGAUGGAUAAGGGAGGAAGCAGUGGGGAAGAGUGCACAAUGGGCGGAAGAUUGAUGCAGAAAAGCCGAGUGAGGGAGGAAGGAAUUCGGGUUGUAAAAAGAGGUAGACUGUGAAGAAGAGUGAGUGAAGGUAAUGGGUAAAGAAGAAAAGGCGAACGAAGUG